GAUCUCAAUUUGGCAGCACAUAUACUAAAAUCAGAAUAAUACAGAGACUAUUAACAUGGCCCUUGUGCAAGAAAGACACGCAAACUUAUGAAGCAUUCCAUAUUUUU
ensembl:snRNA U6 U6 spliceosomal RNA